rnacentral:rRNA from 1 species
GAGUUUGAUCGUGGCUCAGGAUGAACGCUGGCGGCGUGCCUAAUACAUGCAAGUCGAGCGAACGGACGAGAAGCUUGCUUCUCUGUUGUUAGCGGCGGACGGGUGAGUAACACGUGGAUAACCUACCUAUAAGACUGGGAUAACUUCGGGAAACCGGAGCUAAUACCGGAUAAUAUUUUGAACCGCAUGGUUCAAAGUAAAAGACGGUCUUGCUGUCACUUAUAGAUGGAUCCGCGCUGCAUUAGCUAGUUGGUAAGGUAACGGCUUACCAAGGCAACGAUGCAUAGCCGACCUGAGAGGGUGAUCGGCCACACUGGAACUGAGACACGGUCCAGACUCCUACGGGAGGCAGCAGUAGGGAAUCUUCCGCAAUGGGCGAAAGCCUGACGGAGCAACGCCGCGUGAGUGAUGAAGGUCUUCGGAUCGUAAAACUCUGUUAUUAGGGAAGAACAUAUGUGUAAGUAACUGUGCACAUCUUGACGGUACCUAAUCAGAAAGCCACGGCUAACUACGUGCCACG